UAAUAUGAUAAUUUAGAUAUCAAAUAUAAUUUGUUGAUUUUAAUUGGUUACUUUUUUGGAAAUUAAUAAUGUAUUUCGUUUUUCUAAUUAAAUUAAAUUAAUUAAAAUUUAGAUAUCAAAUCUUAUAUGUUGAUUUUGAUUGGUUAUUAUUUUUGGAAAUUAAUAAUGUAUUUCGUUUUUUAAUUAAAUUUAAUUAAUUAAAUGAGUAUUUGACUUUUUAAUCCUUAAAGAGAUAAAUUAAUUUACUCUUUAAAAUUUUAUUUCUAAUGGCAUACCUAUGUAAUUACUUACAAAAAUUAAGGUUACAUUUAAAAUGUACUUCCCAAAUAAUAUAGUAGGAUUAUUAACCUCAUACUACAAUUUU
rnacentral:sRNA from 1 species